rnacentral:rRNA from 1 species
GAUGAACGCUGGCGGCGUGCUUAACACAUGCAAGUCGAGCGAUGAAGUUUCCUUCGGGAAACGGAUUAGCGGCGGACGGGUGAGUAACACGUGGGUAACCUGCCUUAUAGAGGGGAAUAGCCUUCCGAAAGGAAGAUUAAUACCGCAUAAGAUUGUAGCUUCGCAUGAAGUAGCAAUUAAAGGAGCAAUCCGCUAUAAGAUGGGCCCGCGGCGCAUUAGCUAGUUGGUGAGGUAACGGCUCACCAAGGCGACGAUGCGUAGCCGACCUGAGAGGGUGAUCGGCCACAUUGGGACUGAGACACGGCCCAG